UUGACCUACGGGGGGCAGCAGUCGGGAAUAUUGCGCAAUGGAGGAAACUCUGACGCAGUGACGCCGCGUAUAGGAAGAAGGUUUUCGGAUUGUAAACUAUUGUCGUUAGGGAAGAUAAAAGACUGUACCUAAGGAGGAAGCCCCGGCUAACUAUGUGCCAGCAGCCGCGGUAAUACGUAGGGGGCAAGCGUUAUCCGGAUUUACUGGGUGUAAAGGGAGCGUAGACGGCAGAGCAAGUCUGAAGUGAAAGCCCGCGGCCCAACUGCGGGACUGCUUUGGAAACUGCCCGGCUAGAGUGCUGGAGG
rnacentral:rRNA from 1 species